GAUUCUGGCUCAGGAUGAACGCUGGCGGCGUGCCUAACACAUGCAAGUCGAGCGAUUACUUCGGUAAAGAGCGGCGGACGGGUGAGUAACGCGUGGGUAACCUGCCUCAUACACAUGGAUAACAUACCGAAAGGUAUGCUAAUACAGGAUAAUAUAAGAGAUUCACAUGGAUUUCUUAUCAAAGCUCCGGCGGUAUGAGAUGGACCCGCGUCUGAUUAGCUAGUUGGUAAGGUAAUGGCUUACCAAGGCGACGAUCAGUAGCCGACCUGAGAGGGUGAUCGGCCACAUUGGAACUGAGACACGGUCCAAACUCCUACGGGAGGCAGCAGUGGGGAAUAUUGCACAAUGGGCGAAAGCCUGAUGCAGCAACGCCGCGUGAGUGAUGAAGGCCUUCGGGUCGUAAAACUCUGUCCUCAAGGAAGAUAAUGACGGUACUUGAGGAGGAAGCCCCGGCUAACUACGUGCCAGCAGCGGC
rnacentral:rRNA from 1 species